GACGAACGCUGGCGGCGUGCCUAAUACAUGCAAGUCGAACGCAGUGGGGACGGGUGAGUAACACGUGGGUAACCUCCCAUCAGAGGGGAUAACACUUGGAAACAGGUGCUAAACCGAUACUAUUGGUUGACCCCGCGGUGCAUUACCUAUUUGUGGGUGUAACGGCUCACCAAGGCCACGAUGCAUAGCCGACCUGAGAGGGUGAUCGGCCACACUGGGACUGAGACACGGCCCAGACUCCUACGGGAGGCAGCAGUAGGGAAUCUUCGGCAAUGGACGAAAGUCUGACCGAGCAACGCCGCGUGAGUGAAGAAGGUUUUCGGAUCGUAAAACUCUGUUGUUAGAGAAGCGGUAUCUAACCAGAAAGCCACGGCUAACUACGUGCCAGCAGCCGCGGUAAUAC
rnacentral:rRNA from 1 species